AAUUUAGAGGCAAGUCAAGAAUAAAAUAAAAAGGAAGGGUUAAAUUGAAAUCAAAACAGAAUUAAAAGGACAAUCUGUAAAUAAAUAAAUAAUUAAAACAGGAUUAGGGACUAAAAUAAGAUGCGCGAAAAUGAAAGGGGAUUAAAUGGGAAAAUAUCCCCAAAAUUCUGAACGCCCUAUUCCCUUUAGACAAUCGAGGGAUUAAAUUGCGCAGAAAAUAAAAUAAAGGGGUCAAAUUAAAAAUAAAAAUCAAAUAACAGGACAAAAUUGAAUAGCGGAGAAAAUGUGGAAGGACCAAAAGGCUAAAUAACCCCUUUUAAACAAAAACACGCGGAUCCCCUAAAGGUGGGUCGGGUCAGACCGGUCAUCCCCAAAACGACGUCGUUUUGAGGCGUUUCAGGUCAUUCCAAAACUACGCCGUUUUAAUGCCCUAUUUAAGUUAAUUUUUUUAAAAGAUUCAUUUCUCUCCUUCCUUCAAAAAAAAAAAACAGAAACAGCCCCCCACCUUCUCUCAACUCUCUCCUUGGCCGGCCAUUAACCUCGCCGACGGUUCACCAUGCCUCCGCCAUGAGCGGUGGCUGGAACCAUACAAAUAUCGGGCUCUUUCAGCCCCGUUUUGAAACGCCCUUGAAGGUUAAACCCCCGAAACCCGAAGAAUCGAAAGGAGGAGGCCCUCAACUCCCCUUUUGGGUCCAAAAUUGGUGACGAAGAAGAGCUCCGACGACACGACCACGGGGGUUCAAGUAAGUCUUCUUCCCCUCCUCUUUAUUUCUUUUUUAUUUGAAAUUGAUUUGCAAUAGAAAUAAGAAAAGAAAUCGAAAAGAAAAAAACCUUUUAGCCUCUGUAUUUGCUGUUUUGAUUUCUUAAUGUUUGUAAAAAAUACAAAAGGAUUGAUUUUGGCCUUUAUAGCCAAAUACAAGCUUGUCUUGUUUUCUUCUUCUUUUUUUUUUUGUCGUUUUCAUGUUGUUUGUUAAUGGUUUUUUGUCUUCUUGUCCAUUGUUUUCUUUUACUUGCGUGUUUGCUUCAUUUUGCAGGUGCCAAAGGCACGUGGAGGCAAGCCGAGAGGCGGUGGCAAAGACAAGGGUGACGUGCGGCGCUGGUUAAGCUGAAGGAGGCUAGGGUUUCUGUUUUUCUUCUGAAAGUUAAAGUUGUGGGCUUUUGGGCUACUAAAGUUUUUUAAUUUUAGGCCAUUUGAGUAGUGUAUUUGGGCUUGUAAAAAUUGGACUGUUUUAUUAUUUGGGUUUAUUGACCUGGGCCAAAAAUUGGCCAUUACAUUAGCAAUUGACAAAAAAGAAAUUGUUAGAGAUAAAAGAUAAUUUAUUGUUUCUCCG
rnacentral:lncRNA from 1 species